rnacentral:rRNA from 1 species
GACGGAGGAUGCAAGUGUUAUCCGGAAUCACUGGGCGUAAAGCGUCUGUAGGUGGUUUAAUAAGUCAACUGUUAAAUCUUGAGGCUCAACCUCAAAUCGCAGUCGAAACUAUUAGGCUAGAGUAUAGUAGGGGUAAAGGGAAUUUCCAGUGGAGCGGUGGAAAUGCGUAGAGAUUGGAAAGAACACCGAUGGCGAAGGCACUU